GGAUCACAAUGUAUUUGUGAGCCGUCAUGCCAUCUUCUUGGAAAACCAGUUUAUCCUUGAUAGAGGCAGUGGGUGGAAAAUUGAGCUUGAAGAGAAAGUCUCUGAAAAGCAAUGAGUCAUGGAUCCUAUCGAACCCAUUCAUACAGAGCCAGUACAUGAUGUCCCUCAACCACCUCGUAGAUCUAGUAGGGUCUCCCAUCCUCCCGAUAGAUACUUAGGUAUACUAGAAGAGUGUGGAGUGAUUGAUUAAAAACCCCGUUUGAUUUUGAUGAGCUCAAAGCAUUUGAGUAUAUCUUGUGAUUACUAAUGAAUUCAAUGGAGUGUUUCAGUGAAAAUCCUGCUCAAGUGUUUCAAGACUUGAUUCAUAGUAUUUUGGAUAAGUUAAGAAGUCUGCUGAACCAAUGUCUGAGACUCGAGUCGACUCCCGAGUUUCACGAGUCGACUCCAAGCGUAUCAAGGUCACUGGCACGAGCUCGAGUCGACUCC
rnacentral:lncRNA from 1 species